GGAAGCCCCAUCAUUCGCUUUGCACAGGUAUUUGUGGCCUCAAUAAGAAAUGGAAACCUUCCAAUCCCAGAGAUGACAGAUGAAUUACAUGAAAUUCAUGACAAAGAAGCAGGGAAGCAAGAAGAAAUCCUAGGGAGGACUGAUCAAUUCAGGUAUUAUAUAAAGUUGAUUUCAAGUGCUUCGUCGUAACUUUUGUGCAGGCUCAAGCUGAUUGCUUGCAAACAAAUGCACUGCAAAAUUUCCAAAUUUCAGGUUUCUGGACAGGGCUGCAAUUGUAAGGACCAAUAAUGGCGUAUCAACAUCGAUCACCCCUGGACCCUGGAGCCUAUGCACAGUUACACAAGUUGAAGAAACAAAAAUCCUACUUCGCAUGCUUCCAAUUAUACUUAGCACAGUCUUCACGAACACAUGUUUGGCUCAACUGCAGACUUUCACAAUCCAACAGAGCACCACAAUGGACACAAGUUUUAUUGGCUUUCAC
rnacentral:misc_RNA from 1 species